ACGAGUUCUUUAGAGCGUCAUCCUCCAGCCUUUGUGUCGUUGGACGUGCGUGCGUGCGUGCGUGACGUAGUCAAGCUUGUGUGUCUGUCACAGAGCGAAAGAGGCUUGCGUCGUAUUAAAUUCUCCUCUGAAGUUUAUCUGGCUGAUCUUCUAUCUGGACCUGAGAGAUGAAGAAGGCACAAUCGCUCCUUUUCCAAGCGUUGACCGUGCUUGGCAUUUGGGCUUCGCUUGCAUCUAUUGCACUUUCAUAUGACAGUUGUUUUGGAAGGGCACUUCUUUCCUGGACUUGGUGGGCUUGGACUUGGUGCUGAUGUGGAUAAGUUCGCUGUAAAAUGACACAUUUCAAAGACAACCCUAUGCUGAGAGCUACAAACUCUUUUGUGAACAAGUGAUCCGUCAAAGGAUUAUCGUUGACAAAGAAGUGCUCAGAAUGGACAAGCCAAGAAGGUUGUUCGUGAACAUCGUGAAGAACCAUGAGGAUCUUGAUGCUUCAGACUACAGGCGGGAUAUGCUGAAAAGAAGAUUGAAACUUUAUCAUCAACAGAAACUUUUAGACAGGAUACCUCAGUCAUCAGGUACAUCAGCUACCGACUCUACUGAGGUAAGACAAGAAAGUGACACUGAACAAAUGGCUAGCACACCAUCUGGUUGGAAAUCCACAGAACAAAGAAGGACACUUUACAGUGCAGGGCUGCUAUUGAGGACCAUUCUAAGCGAAUCACCCUCACUGAAAUGCCCAUGGCCUCCCACAGCAGAAGAUUUAAAUGUAUGUGAAGCGAAAGCUGUUGUGCCUGUUGAACAGUACAAUCGAUUGGUGCAACAGAAGAACCAACACUAGCCGGCAAAAGGGCAAACUACGAGGCAGCAGUAAUGCGACAUUGUCUGACUGGUAUGAUGUGUGCCCCUUCACCAAUUGGCAAUGGAUGGGACAUUGAGGAUGGUGAAUUAACAGUAAAAUGGAUGACUAGAAAUCCUGCCCCAGAUAGUGUGCUACAGGUAAUCCACUGUGGUUGCAAGAUAAGCAAGUGUGAGACUGAAAGAUGUUCAUGCUUGUCUGCAAAAAUGUCCUGUACAGAUUUAUGCCACUGCCAGGACUGUGAAAAUAUUUCAAAGGAAAUGGGAUGAUGACACUGAUGAUACUGAUAUUGAUGAGUAAUCACCCACCAUCUCUCCUAUGUUUAGUUUCAUUAUCAAAAUGUUACUCUCCAUUUUAACACCUUUAAAACAACAACAAAAAAAGGCUCUUUUCCCUUUUCCAAAAAAAUAGACCUUUGUUCAAUUUGACUGCCAAAAAAGAUGGAUGUUCCAAUGAAGUGCUAUUGUUUUAUUGAGAGUGCACAUUUCAUAUAUGUGUGUGUAUAUAUAUAUAUAUAUAUAUAUAUAUAUAUAUAUAUAUAUAUAUAUAUGUGUGUGUGUAUAUAUAUAUAUGUGUGUGUGUAUAUAUAUAUAUGUGUGUGUAUAUAUAUAUAUAUAUGUGUGUGUAUAUAUAUAUAUAUGUGUGUGUGUGUAUAUAUAUAUAUGUGUGUGUGUGUAUAUAUAUAUAUGUGUGUGUGUGUAUAUAUAUAUAUGUGUGUAUAUAUAUAUAUAUGUGUGUAUAUAUAUAUAUGUGUGUGUAUAUAUAUAUAUAUAUGUGUAUAUAUAUGUGUAUAUAUAUAUAUAUAUAUGUAUAUAUAUAUAUACACACUGAUACACGGCCCAUGGGAAAACCCAUGGACAGUGUAUCAAAUACUUGUUCUCCCCACUCUAUACAUAUAUAUUCCUAGAUUUUGACAAAAUUGGUGCAGGGAAACGUUGGGUGAACUUUUAACCCAAAGUUCAGAAGGGUAUUAUCUUAUCAAAAAAUGCAUUGAACAAGUAGUGCCCAGACAGUGGAACGAAACCCAUUUUCUAGGCACUUUUUCAGGGUCCACCCCAAGGCCUAAUUCUAUUUAACACAAGACUUAUUUUUCAUCCCAUACAAUUUAUUUAGCAAUUGGGGGAAAUUACUUAGAUACAUACUGUAAAAAUAUUGGAGUAGAGAGAUAAAAACAAUGAUGACAUUUUGCUGCUGUCUGUUGCAUUUUCCGCGUUCUGAAUCUUCCCCAUUGGGCUGAUUUCUAAAUCAGCUGAAAUCGUUACUCUGCCGACGUCAUCACCUAGAUGGAGGCACUAGAGCAGGGUUCUCCAACCCAGUCCUCAAGGCACACUGUGGGUCCUGGUUUUUGUUCCAGCCGAUCCAGCAGAGGCAGUUGAGCCAAUGAGGCUUCUGCUAAAACAAGCCACACCUGACUGCAAUCAAGUGAUUGCACUUGUAAAACACCAGAUUGGGGAAAAAGUGUUGUCAUCUUGUUUGGUAGGAAUGAAAUCCUGCACCCACAGUGUGCCUUUGUGGAAUAGGUUGGGGACCCCUGCACUAGAGUGCUACAAUGAUAGGCGGGGCUAAACGGCAGAUUAAAAGAAACAUUUCUCUUCAUCUGCGCUUUGCCAAAUUGUUGUAUAUAGUCGAAUGAUCUCAAAAUAUGAUUUUAAUUCACAUAAUAAUGCUAUUUAAUUUCAUCGUGUCACAGGCGCUUUAAAAGUCAGUGAUUGCAGGACUGGUUUACUUUCAAAAAGUGCUUGAGCCGAGUUUUGAGGGUUUGUAUUGCGGGACACUCCCUGAUGGCCCUACUAUGACCCUAGUCAUGGGGGCGGGGGCAAAUCAAAUACUUAAAUAGUAUUUUUUUAAAUUAAGAAACAAAGCACAUGAAAAAAAAAUACAUAGUAAUGAAGUAAUAAAAUAGAAAUAAUUCUACAUGAAAUGAAAUUCAUUCUAAAAAAAAAAUCAAAACUUCAAAAUAUAAAUGAAAAAUUAUUGAAAUAAAUCAAGAUUAAAAAAAAUAAUAAUAAUAAUAACAUUAAUUCAAAUAAGUGUCCCAUGUGUGAAUUUUGCUGUGGGAAAGUUAUUCAUUUAAUUUUGUUUUGUUUGAUGAAUCUUGUGACCUCUCAUAUCUUAACUCUAUGGCUGCCUCUUACGGUAUUCAAUCCAUUUCAACUGAUUGUUCGAUCGCUUCCAGCCCCUCCCAGUUAAAAUGGAUUGGACGUCUAUCAAUAUCUUUUACUUAUUACCACAACAAAAAUUGUGACCUGGGCUGGCGGUGGUGAGGUAAACUAAUGAUAACUUUUGGAUAGAUGUCCACUGAUGUGACCACUGUAACCGAAAGGGUUAAACAUCAUCCUCAAAAAUAAAAAGUGCAAAUUACCACACAAAUGUUCCUUUUUGUGCUAUACACAAGUGUGGAUGCAACCCCGUUGGUUACAUAACUCUGUCGGAAUGGCUGACGGUUACCCAUUUGAUUAUUUCACCUUAUAACGCAUACUGUAGCUUGAUCUGAGGCUGAAAUGCAUCCCAACUCUUCUUUCUUGAUUUCUGUCCCAAUUUACAUCCAUUGUCCAGUUCACUGGCGCCUGUGGCACAGCUGUGAUGGUGUGUGAUGUAAUCCUACUUGGUUUAGUUAUUGUUGGGUAAAGAGACAUACUAUACAUUGUAUCCAAAAAAUUGUCCAUUGCUGCCAGUUUGCUUGGAUUUAAUAAAUCAAUAUUAAAAUCUCCACAGAUGAAGAAUGUUUUCUGCUUAAUAGUGGAAAACAAUUGGCUCAUCCAUUCAGUGAAGGAAUCAAUACAUGAACCCGGUGAUCGAUAGAUUCAACUGACAAUUAUAUUUUUCUUUUUUUCAUUGGAGAUCUCUAUUGUCAAACAUUCCAAGUGUUCUUGACAUAUCUAUUCAAUUCAAUUUUAUUUGUAUAGCCCUAAAUCACAACAAGGUUGUCUCAAAGGGCUUUGCAGAGGCAAUAUGAUACAAAAUCAGAAACAGCAAAUGAAGCAAUGAAGAUGAAUACAUACAUUUCAAGUCCUGGGCAUCCCCCAUCCUUAGACCCUCCAUGUCGGCAAGGAAAAACUCCAAAAACUCCAGAGUCUUUGGGAGAAAAUGAGAAACCUUGGGAAGUACCACACUGAGGAGAGAUCCACUCCCGGGACAGAUAGGCAGGGAGCACCAGUACUGCUAAUGGGAAUUAGCAGGCGAAGUUACAGUCCGUAAAGAUACAUUGGAGUAAAGGAACAAGAAGAGGUCCAUCUAGCCAGAUGAGACGGGGGUAGCAACGAGGACAUCCAUCCAGCCAGGGGUCCGGACAGUCAGGAGGCUGCAGCUGAAAAAGGGGUGGGGGGAAAGGGGAGACCGGGUGACGAGUGAUGAAGAGACUAGACAGAUAUUACCAUAUUACUAGAUAUUACCAUUGGAAAAUAGAAAUUAAGUAAGACAAGUGGUACUGUAGGUAGAGUGAGAAAAAGGAGAUAGAACUCAGUGGCUGUACUUCCCCCAGCAUUAUAGCUUCUAGUGCAGCUGUAUCUGUUAAUACCAUACAUUUAAUUGAUUUAUGAAUAUAUAGGGCAACUCCACCACCAGUUUUCUUUUCUCUAUGUAUUUUAAUUCGUAAUCAUCCAUAAGAAAAUCAAUACCUUUAUCAAUAUUAAACCACGUUUCUGUGAUCGCAAUUAUGCUGAAGGGGUGUGUAAAUUGGUGCAGAUAGUCUUUGGUAGAGCUGACAUUUUUGUACAUGCUUCUGCUGUUGAAAUGUAUAAUUGACAGUUUUGCCCAUUGAGUUGAUAUGAUUUUCAUACAGAUCUUGUGUAAAAAUAAUCGCAAUUGGUAACAGUAGAAGAAAAGAAAUGAUUGUCAGGAUCACUUUCUAUAUUAGGGACUCUUUUGUUGGACUCGUUGGAUUUAAAGGCCUCAAGUUCUAUUUGUUUGUUCUGAAGGGUUCGCAGAAGUGGAUCAAUGUCGCUCUUAUUCCUGAGUACAGUUCGUGUGUUUGAUGUAUCG